CCAUGGUCCAUUUCGCCGGAAAGUCAAUAGGUUGGCCGGAAAUCAAGUUUUUUAGAUUCGGUUUAAAAAUGGUAAUGGCGAUUUCUUGCUGGUUUUUAAUCGAUUUUGGACUAAUAUCACUCCUCCUAGCUCUGAUACCAGUUUGUUGGGGAUCGUAGGAGUUCAAUCAACCAAAACAACAAUCAACAAACAAGAUUCAAGGCAAAAAUCAAGAAAAUAAAACCGGAAGAAUACAACCCCUUUUGGCCGAAAUCUGUCCAGCUUUCCUUCCUCGUUUCAGCAGCUUCUUCUUCGAUUUAUGGGUGUUUUUCCAGGCUCAGGAACAGCCCCAUGCUAUGCCAAUUGCCUUCCAAAGAGAGAGGGGAAAAACCAAUGAAG
rnacentral:lncRNA from 1 species